GCCUAGGUGGCUCGAGUGGUAGAGCACCUAGUAUAUAAUAUGCAGAAGCAGAAGCACUGGGUUCAAUUCCCAGUCUGGUCA